AGCAGUAGCCGCGGUAAUACGUAGGUGGCAAGCGUUGUCCGGAAUUAUUGGGCGUAAAGGGCUCGCAGGCGGUUCCUUAAGUCUGAUGUGAAAGCCCCCGGUUCAACCGGGGAGGGUCAUUGGAAACUGGGAAACUUGAGUGCAGAAGAGGAGAGUGGAAUUCCACGUGUAGCGGUGAAAUGCGUAGAGAUGUGGAGGAACACCAGUGGCGAAGGCGGCUCUCUGGUCUGUAACUGACGCUGAGGAGCGAAAGCGUGGGGAGCGAACAGGAUUAGAUACCCGUGUAGUCCCUGUCUCUUAUAC
rnacentral:rRNA from 1 species